GACGAACGCUGGCGGCGUGCCUAAUACAUGCAAGUUGAACGCAACAAAGACACCAGAGCUUGCUCUACCGUCUUUGUUGAGUAGCGAACGGGUGAGUAACGCGUGGGUAACCUGCCUUAUAGCGGGGGAUAACUAUUGGAAACGAUAGCUAAUACCGCAUAACAAUAGAGAUUGCAUAAUCUUUAUUUGAAAGUGCCAACUGGUACACUAUGAGAUGGACCCGCGUUGUAUUAGCUAGUUGGUAGUGUAAUGGACUACCAAGGCGAUGAUACAUAGCCGACCUGAGAGGGUGAUCGGCCACAUUGGGACUGAGACACGGCCCAAACUCCUACGGGAGGCAGCAGUAGGGAAUCUUCGGCAAUGGACGAAAGUCUGACCGAGCAACGCCGCGUGAGUGAAGAAGGUUUUCGGAUCGUAAAACUCUGUUGUUAGAGAAGAAUGUUGAUUAGAGUGGAAAAUUAAUC
rnacentral:rRNA from 1 species